rnacentral:lncRNA from 1 species
ACCGAAUCCUCUCUUACAAUUACAUUGCUCGCCAAUUUCUAAUUUACGUUACGUCGCUAUACAUCGCGAAAAGAUUUUUCCGAAAUGAUCGAAAAACCACGAACAACUGCGUUUCCAAAUAAAAUCGAUCGACUCGUGGCCGACGAUUGAUUCAACUUUUAUAUCUUACUAAUCUUAAAUAGACUAUGGAUUAUCGAUGACUAAGGCAGAUUAAACUUCCGAAAUGACCAACGCUCGCAUGUCCGCGUUUUGAAUCGCAUACCGAGCGAAUGAUACGGUCAGGACUAAUAGUGUCGAGGAUUUCUCUCAAGACGGUCGUAUAGUCGUGUUCAAUUGAAAUACGCACGAACGGGUAAUCUGCGCAAUUACCUCACAUGCAAAUAAAGCUUCGCGAAGAUGGACGGUGACCCGUCGAGUUGACGUCACGUUGCUACACGAGGACACCGUGUUAUAAAUGAUAUUAUACGCCCCUAGUCGUACGUUCCGAAUAUCGUCGGAAUAAGAUAGACAGGAUUCCACGACUGAGACCGUUUUCCAUCGAAAAAGUAUCAACCGAUGAUUCUCUAUAAUUAAUUUGUCUUUGUCGAAUAUAAAUCAUAAUCCAUGCCCGUAUCUCGAUGUCGUAAGGAAAAGUGCUCGAUUGUCGUAGCUGCCAGCCAAUUCCUCCACCGAAUUUAUCUCAUACAUUGGCUCUCGCAGUUGAUCAAUUCCUUAACACGGCGGCUUUGUUAGACUCGACACGACAUCGGCCCGCGUUUCGUCAAACCCCAACACGGUACGUUGCAGCGAAUUGCGCUAAAAAACUGACGCGAAAUCAUGCGCGUAUUUGCAUCCUGUAUUUUUCCAACGUAAAAUGGCUAAAUUCACGGCGCGAGAAAGUGAACGUCCAUGAGGCUAAGAUCCCUUUAAAUCGUAAAUGGGUGACCAACUCGUUUGGUAAAGGGGAUGCAAAGAAGACCAGUCACAACGAACACCGCGAAAUCUUUCUAACUGCGAACGCAAACAAACCAAUGGCCGUAGUUGAUCAAAGGGAAGCGCAAAACGGUCGAAACUUCACACCUGUAACGUCGAAUCGCGCUGACACUGCCACAAGACACCCGUGCGAACCGUGAUCAACUGCUUCCCGACGAAUAGCCAUGAUUCGAGAAAAAGCGUAGCUCGAGCGGAAGAUGAUAUUUCGAAAGGGUGAGUCAGAGAAAGGGUUUGCGUAGCGGCGGCGCAUCGAGAAAAGCUACGUCUACUCACCUUCGGAUA